UCCCCUCCGUCCCACCUCUCCCUUCCCCUCGCUGCAUCGCGAGAUCUGUUCGCUGCGCCUCCAUUUGUAUCUCGAGAUAUAUUAGGCCGGCUGCCUUUGCUCUGAUCGACAGGUUGGAGUCACGGAUGAGUUGAACUCUCCCCUUUUCUCCUAAGAUGACAUACUUGCUUUCUUUCUCUGGCCUGAUUACUAGAGUUAUGAGCCAUAGUUCUGAGUACAAGCCAUAUAAAUAACAGAAGAAAACCAUGAACCAAAUUACCAGAAGUCAUCUUCUGGAGUGCUUUGCUGACUUUAACAGAUGUAGAAUUGAUACCAUCACAGAGACCCUUGUCAGAUGUAAUGGCUACAAUAACAUUCUUCUUGACAUUUACCCAUGGCACUUGACAACAGCAGCAAGACCGUACUGCACCGCUGCUGAACUAUUGGCCUGGCUGUGCUCUGUACCUUGAUUUGGUUUUAAGUAGCAAGGAGUGCCUUAGUACUUUUGUCAUGUGGUGUUAGUACUUGCAUUCUGUUCUGUUUUGUGUUGUACUCCAAUUAGGUGCUUGAAAUUUCGUUAGUACCUCCAAAAUUAUCUCAUGCUUUUAAGAUGUGCCAUUGUGUUGAUAUAUUUUAUCUUUAUUUUUCUUUACAUUUUAUAUGCUGUACCUAUCUUGGUUUGAACUAGAUAAGGAUGAUCCUUUACCUAGAUGAUAAACAAUUAACUAGCUCAGCCUAAGCUAUGAUCUACAAAUUUCUUGACGGACAUGUACUACUUUGGUGGAGAUGAUGAUCCUUUCCCCAGAUGAUCGACAAUGAACAUGCUGAGCGCUAUAAUUUCUCUUUAGGAGAAACCAAGCCAGGACUCUGAUCUGCCCAGUAGUACAGAUAUUUGUUCUUUAUUGCUUGCUACUGUUUUGUAGUUUGUUAUCUUUCUUUGGCACCAUGGAUGUAUUUUUUAAUGUUUUGAUAUGCCCAUUAUGCGGUGAAAACUGAUUACUAGUGGAUCUAUUCAUAUGGCCAUCGAGUAUGAGUCAUAGUAAUUCUCAAAUUCUCCAAACAGAUGUAGGUUUCUCUGUGCUAGAUUUACUACAACAUUCUAUUUGUUUUCAAUGUGCCAUUCGAUUUGGAGGAUAUGAUGAUCCUUUCCCCAGAUGAUUGGCAAUGAACAUGCUGAGCUCUAUUAUUUCUCUUCAGAGAAACCAAGCCAGUAUUCUGAUCCUCCUAGCCAUUGUAGAUGCCUGUAUUCAUAUGGCCAUUGUGGAUAAUUCUAUGCUUUAAUAAUUCUCCUGAUAUAUCACUGUUUAUUAGUAGGAUAUUUCUUCUGCUUGGCCAUAACAACAAUUUCAUGUUGUUUCUUUUGUAAUUCGAUGGUUGACAGUCUCAUAUAUUACACUAGCUAAUAUAUUACAACAGAAUGAAUCAACUACUCUCGUGGUCGAUCCCAUCCAAUCUAGUAUUAUUUACCGUCUAUCUGUCUGUAUGUAUUUACUCUGAACAAAAUUCAGUCUGCACAUCUGCAUUUGCAAUGCACAAGUACAGAUACAUCCGCCCCUGCUAUUUUCUUGUUAUACAUUACAUAGACGCAUACACACGCCGGGCUAUUUCUGUGUCUGUCUGCCUGGCCUCUCAAGGAUGCAUAUCUCUUUCGUAUGUAUUGAAUUUUGUAACAAUUUUGUUUUCCUCAUACUUACAAGAUGAUGUGCUCGCUACUUACAUGUUUUCUGAUGCCGCAACAAAGGACUAUAUGUGGUUUCUUCAGUGGGGUUGUCACUGUCGCUCCUCAUGUUCAAUAACAUUUCAGCAUUGGACCUGCUAGUCACCCAAGCCAAGCCUCGCAUCGCUUCAACAAAGUGAUACUUCUUCCAAUCAACCCCUGCUUCGACUCUGCUCUUUUUUCCAUCUUCUCUUAUUUAAGCUAAGAAAGAUUCUGAGUUUGCAUCCAUCUCAUUACACUAGCUAGCAGAAUAUAUUAGUUAAGGCAACUCUACUACAUAUCAAUUUCCCGUACUGGAUUGGUUCUAUAUUUUUAAAGUUGUUUCGUGGUGCAUGAGCGCAACCAGAAGAAAUAUAGGCUUAUGAUGACAAUUUUCCUUCUUAAGUAAUCAUAGUUGUUGGCUUCGGUAGCUUGCUGAAUAUGCUUUAGUUCAUGGGUUCAAGUCCUGGAAACAGCCUCUUACAGAAAUGUAGGGAAAGGCUGCGUACUAUAGACCCAAAGUGGUCGGACCCUUCCCUGGACCCUGCGCAAGCGGGAGCUACAUGCACCAGGUUGCCCUUUUUAUAUAUAGAAAUGACGUGCCUUCUAUGCUUAAAUGAUUGUUUGGCUCUAUAUAAUUCUUGACAUGAAUAUCUUGACUUCCCAAACAAGUAUAGGACUGUACCUAUGCAUACAGAUUAUCCUAACAAAACUGAAAAUAAAAAUUGAAGCAUGAAAUAAGCAAUAAGUGGUUGAUUUUUAUUUGCAUGUUAAGCGGAAAGUUGUAGCCAAGGCUUAUAUAUUACGAAAUAUUGUCACACCUCUGAGCUUCUACUGUUGUUAGGGACAUCAUAGUGUGAUCUUCAUGAUUUUUCACUUGACGAUGUACUGAUUCAUUAGUCAAGCAGAGACCGAAGUCAUCUUUUGCUACUGUUAGCUCUAUGGAUGUUUAUUUACCUACAACUUCUGCCAGCUCUAAGUUGGUUAUAUAGCAGUUCAAUUCAGUCAAUCUGUUGGAACUCGUUUGUCUAUUACUUGUAUCCAGAUUUUAUAUCCUGCCCUAUGCCAUUGUCGACUUGCUUAGAUACAUAAUUGUUAUGUCUUGCAAUCUGGUAUUGAUGAUUGUCAAUGUAUUCAUUUAUACCUUUAUAGUGUACCUUGUAUGUGACCCAGCUGAUUUGUAUAACAAUGCUCUGUUUCCAAUAGAUGUAUGUUGAUGCCUGAUGGCCGAUUCCUUAAAACUUCACUGUUGCAGUAGCAUUUUAACUUAGUGCAUAGAUGUAUGAGCAAUCACUUAUGCUUGAAACCUUGCUCUCUUUCCCAGGAACCAUCGUGGUCUGCGUCACUACUGGGGCAGGAGAGGAAAGACUGUUGGUGUCUCCAAGAAGCGAUAAACUGCUUCAGAAAGAUCCCCGCAUAGCUUCACUACUACUGUGUUGGCCCAUUUCCAGAAUCGUAAGGAGUGUUCUUGUUUAGACGAUCACCUUGGAUGAUGCUUUUGCUUAAGGAGAGGCUCAAGAAGAUCAGGGAGCUCCACAUCCGAGUUUCAGCCAUCCUCUACAGCAAGGAGCUCUGGGCCAAAGGAGCAAGCAGCGCUGCUAGUUCCUUGAGGCCAGAUCGAGUAAGAUGGCGCACCAUGGCGUGUGGUGGCGUAUUUUGCUUCCGAGAACAGUACUGUUUAUUUGAAGUGAGAUGUACUCAUCUAGUGCCUGGCAAAAACUGAAGGAUGAAGUGUCAUGUACUGUCUAUGUUGUAGUGAGCUAUUGUAGGAGUGAAAUGAAAAUUUAUCUGUUGGUGUAUGUGCUAUUUCCCUGUAAUGUGUUGUGUACAUUUUACUUGAACAUUAAAUUCCUAGAAAAAAUGUUCUUACUGGA